GGUGCCACGAUUUGAGCGAAUGAUGAUGCUUGAGGAGGUAUGAUAACAUAAAAAUCAUGCUCACUAGGAUUACAUUGGGGGCC